CCCAGGGGGGUUUUUUUAAAUUUUUGCUGUUAAAAGACUUCAGCCUUACCCAUGAUAAAGGCCCGUGGGAAAAUAAGGAGACUAAGAGUUGUUUAGGGGGUAGGAGGGAAUUCCCCAGUGUAGGRGGKGAAAUGUCGUAAGAGAUKGGGAAGAAAACMCCGGGUGGSGAAAAGCCGYUYUGCUAGGGACWAUAUCUGACMCUGAGGGGGRSGAAAGUYURGGGGAGCCRAAKGGGAUUUAGAUACCCCCRGUGAGUUCCUAGCCGGUAAAAMRAUGGAUAMUAAGGCGUUGCCCGUAUYGACCCCGGGGCAUUGUCGUAGCUAACGCGUUAAAGUAUCCCCSCCUGGGGAGGUACGCACGCAAAGUGUGAAACUCAAAGGAAUUGRCGGGGGCCCCGCACAAGCGGUGGAGUAUGUGGUUUWAUUMGAUGCAACGCGAARAACCUUACCAGGACUUGACAUGUCGCGAAUCAUGGGGAAACUYGUGAGUGCCUUCGGGAGCGCGAACACAGGUGGWGCAUGGCUGUCGUCAGCUCGUGUCGUGAGAUGUUGGGUUAAGUCCCGCAACGAGCGCAACCCUCGUUUUUAGUUGCCAGCAUUAAGUUGGGCACUCUAGAGAGACUGCCGGUGACAAACCGGAGGAAGGUGGGGAUGACGUCAAGUCAGCAUGCCCCUUACGUCCUGGGCUACACACGUACUACAAUGCGACGAACAAAGGGCAGCUACACAGCAAUGUGAUGCAAAUCUAUGAAAUAGUCGCUCAGUUCAGAUUGAAGGCUGCAACUCGCCUUCAUGAAGUCGGAAUCGCUAGUAAUUGCA
rnacentral:rRNA from 1 species